UGCAAGUCGUACGAGAGUUUUUAACUUUAGUGGCGGACGGGUGAGUAACACGUAAGAAUUUACCUUUAGGAGGGGGACAACAAUUGGAAACGAUUGCUAAUACCCCAUAUGCUUUCGAGUGAAACGGAUUUAUCCGCCUAUUGAGAAGCUUGCGGCUGAUUAGCUUGUUGGUAAGGUAAUGGCUUACCAAGGCGACGAUCAGUAUCUGGUUUGAGAGGAUGAUCAGACACACUGGAACUGAGACACGGUCCAGACUCCUACGGGAGGCAGCAGUGAGGAAUUUUCCGCAAUGGGCGAAAGCCUGACGGAGCAAUACCGCGUGAGGGAUGACUGCCUAUGGGUUGUAAACCUCUUUUUUCAGGGAGGAACAUAAUGACGUGUACCUGAAGAAUAAGCAUCGGCUAACUCCGUGCCAGCAGCCGCGGUAAGACGGAGGAUGCAAGUGUUAUCCGGAAUCACUGGGCGUAAAGCGUCUGUAGGUGGUUGUUUAAGUCAACUGUUAAAUCUUGAGGCUCAACUUCAAAAUCGCAGUCGAAACUAUUCAACUAGAGUAUAGUAGGGGUAAAGGGAAUUUCCAGUGGAGCGGUGAAAUGCGUAGAUAUUGGAAAGAACACCGAUGGCGAAGGCACUUUACUGGGCUAUUACUAACACUCA
rnacentral:rRNA from 1 species